AACAUUCAGAUGGAACUUCAUGUUCUCCAGUUUGUGUCCACUGCCUCUUGUCCUUGCAUUGGGCAUAACUGAAGAGAGCCUGGCUCUGUCUUCUUUACACACUCCCUUCACGUAUUAAGAUAUUGUACCAGCUCAACAUGGUUUAUCGAAAAGAAAAGCAGACAGCUCUUCACUUCAGAAGAACUGUAAUUCAACUUCUAAAUUCUUCCCUGGUUUCCAGUCCAGUCCAUCCUUAGCAGUGGGAACUGCAUUCAGCUCAUAAUACAUAAUCUAUACAGGCACUUGCCAGGGUAUUCUUCAGAUCUGAGAAAUUACUUAAGUCCAGCUCCGGUUUUUGUUCUCCUUUCCUGUGGUGUAACAAUGCUGCAAAUGAAACUGAAUUGCUUCAGUCAGGAACAGAUUUUUCAAGUUUACUAUUUUGUUUUUAACUCCAUCAAACUCCAGCUUGCCAGAAAUCGUGAGAGUCUUCUGAAAUAUGAUUCAGCUGAUGAGUGAAGUUAAUCUGGAUUGUCAGGUUAUAAAUUAAAAAUGGAAGAAGCUAUCAUCUCUCUAAAAAUACAAAAAUAAUAAAGCACA